rnacentral:rRNA from 1 species
UACGUAGGGUGCAAGCGUUGUCCGGAAUUAUUGGGCGUAAAGAGCUCGUAGGCGGUCUGUCGCGUCGGCUGUGAAAUCCCGGAGCUCAACUCCGGGUCUGCAGUCGAUACGGGCAAACUGGAGUACUGCAGGGGAGACUGGAAUUCCUGGUGUAGCGGUGAAAUGUGCAGAUAUCAGGAGGAACACCGGUGGCGAAGGCGGGGUCUCUGGGCAGUAACUGACGCUGGAGGAGCGAAAGCGUGGGGAGCGAACAGG